rnacentral:misc_RNA from 1 species
ACGAGAUAGGGUCCCUCGGGGCCCGACCUCCAACCCUUUGUCGUUCAAAAAAAUCUUUGUUGCUUUGGCGGGACCGCCGCGCCUCACGGCCGGCUGUCUGGCUUCGGCCGGGCAAGCGCCCGCCAGGGGUAAACUCGAAACUCUUUCUGUAUAACAUGUCGUCUGAGUUAAAUUGUAAAUCAAUCA